AAUAAAUGUAGCCGUUGAUAUCUAUAUCCAACGUUUGACUGUCCGUUUUAUUUUUAAAAAUUUAUGAAAAAGUAAAAAAGAAUAGUUACACAUAAAGUACUAAUCAUGUUUUUAUCAUCUAAUAACAAUAAAAUUACUAAUCAUAAAAAAAAAUUCAAAUAAGAUAAGUGGUCAAACGUUGAAUAUGAACAGUGUAAAACUGUACUUAUU
rnacentral:pre_miRNA from 1 species